UGCUACUAUCGAUACAGCUGGUAUUUAUAUACAGUGUUUGAUACUUUGUGCAUUUGAAGUGAAUCUAUAUUUGUUGAAGGCACACCCCAGAUCGCUAAAGCACUUUAUCUUACUGAAAAGUAUGUACUUUUUUUCAUUUUGCAAAAAGUAAAGCUUUUAAUAGAAAGACACUUUUAUAAACUGACCUGGUUACAUUACCCUUUGCUUUCAAACAGACAAAAGCGGUUACUUCCUGCGGUUUUGUUAGCUCAGUGGAGCGAUACUCACGAGG